GUCUAUGACCCUAUUACCCAAAAUGCUCUCGACCUCGCUGGAUCGCAGAAGCUAAGCAGGGUUGGUUGUGCUGAGUACUUGGAUUAAUGACCACCAGGGCAUUACAGGUGUUGCAGAUG
rnacentral:rRNA from 1 species